AUCAUAUAUACAAUUUUUUUUAAAUUAAUGGACACCCUGUAAAUUUAUUUAAAGUUUCUCUAUUUAGAGCACUGUAUCUGUAGCCAAUAAAUGAAUUGACACCAAAAUUUGCAUGCAGACUAUGCAAAGGAUGCAGGAAGUGAUUUUGCAAAAAAAAUUUAAACACAUAAAUUUAAGAAUAAUUUUUAAAAUAGGACAAAGUUAGACUUUUAGGCACUGUCUAAUUUCAUUGUGUGUGCAAAAAGGACAAAGAAGACACUUUUAUGUAUUGUCAAAAUAGACAAUAUUAAAUUCUUUUAUAUAUUGUCUAUUUUGACAAUACAUAAAAGAAUUUAAAAAUUUUUCUUAAAUUUAUAUGUUUAAAUUUAUUUGACCUGGUAAUUUUUAUCAGAAAAGUUUAGUUUAAAAACUUCCAUAUAUUUUCCUUUAAAGCACACCUUAUGGAAAAAAAAACACAAGACAAAUCUAUUUAUUUGUUCCACAAGGAACAUGCCCAGAAUCUACUAAUGAAUCUAAAGACUCCAUCAAUGGCUGAGACUUAGGCAGGACCUUCGGAUCCUCUAUACUUGUCGCUAGGCCCCCAACAUGUCAAGACCAGUUUCCUACCUUGGAGAACAUGGACGGGCUGUCAGAUUGUCUAUGAUAAUCUCAUGACAUUGCAUGACCAUUGUGCACUCGGAUAUACACUCAAAGCCUAUAGUCGUCAGAUGAGCAUGAAAAAUGAUGAAUAUGUUAACGUUAUUUCAAGGGAAUACCGGGUCAGCAUUGUUCUUGCCAAAGGAUGUAUGGUACUGUACCUGCAUAUUCUAAAAAAUGGACAAGGAUAUUAAUAAACGAUCAUACAAAUUAGUGAGAGAAACUUCAUUUGAACUUUAUAAAAACAGAAAUAAGAAAAAGGAAGGCUGGUUACAAUCAAAAAGACAUAGGCAAUAUCAGCACACCUUAUGGAAAAAAAAACACAAGACAAAUCUAUUUAUUUGUUCCACAAGGAACAUGCCCAGAAUCUACUAAUGAAUCUAAAGACUCCAUCAAUGGCUGAGACUUAGGCAGGACCUUCGGAUCCUCUAUACUUGUCGCUAGGCCCCCAACAUGUCAAGACCAGUUUCCUACCUUGGAGAACAUGGACGGGCUGUCAGAUUGUCUAUGAUAAUCUCAUGACAUUGCAUGACCAUUGUGCACUCGGAUAUACACUCAAAGCCUAUAGUCGUCAGAUGAGCAUGAAAAAUGAUGAAUAUGUUAACGUUAUUUCAAGGGAAUACCGGGUCAGCAUUGUUCUUGCCAAAGGAUGUAUGGUACUGUACCUGCAUAUUCUAAAAAAUGGACAAGGAUAUUAAUAAACGAUCAUACAAAUUAGUGAGAGAAACUUCAUUUGAACUUUAUAAAAACAGAAAUAAGAAAAAGGAAGGCUGGUUACAAUCAAAAAGACAUAGGCAAUAUCAGCACACCUUAUGGAAAAAAAAACACAAGACAAAUCUAUUUAUUUGUUCCACAAGGAACAUGCCCAGAAUCUACUAAUGAAUCUAAAGACUCCAUCAAUGGCUGAGACUUAGGCAGGACCUUCGGAUCCUCUAUACUUGUCGCUAGGCCCCCAACAUGUCAAGACCAGUUUCCUACCUUGGAGAACAUGGACGGGCUGUCAGAUUGUCUAUGAUAAUCUCAUGACAUUGCAUGACCAUUGUGCACUCGGAUAUACACUCAAAGCCUAUAGUCGUCAGAUGAGCAUGAAAAAUGAUGAAUAUGUUAACGUUAUUUCAAGGGAAUACCGGGUCAGCAUUGUUCUUGCCAAAGGAUGUAUGGUACUGUACCUGCAUAUUCUAAAAAAUGGACAAGGAUAUUAAUAAACGAUCAUACAAAUUAGUGAGAGAAACUUCAUUUGAACUUUAUAAAAACAGAAAUAAGAAAAAGGAAGGCUGGUUACAAUCAAAAAGACAUAGGCAAUAUCAGGUAUGUUCUUUUUUGUUUUUAAAUAGUUCUGUACAUAAUAAUAAUAAAAAAAAAAACACAGUGCAUCACACUCUAUGAGAUCCAUGUUGACAUUAAACAUGCAUCUGAAAUGAAACUGAUUAUCAAUGCAUUCUGUGAAAAAUAGAACUUGUCUGACCACUGCCUUUCUGUUUAUGAAUUUUUACAUCCUCAAAUCAAAACAGCAGUGCAUUUUCAUGCUUGUCUGACAUUAACCUUAAAAUAAUACAUUAAAAUAUCACUUUAAGGUCUUUGUUAUUUAUCGUGCUUUGUUUUGUGUAUAUUGCAAAUUCUUCUUUUAUACAUCCUUUGAGACCAAAAUUUGUAUAGACUAUGCAAUCUGCUUACUGAUUACAGCUAGCGUGCUCUGAAUAGAGAAACUUUAAUUAUGGACACCAUGUAUAUAAGAACGUGUAAAUUGUCAACAUAAAAUACAAGGUGUCUCAAAUGAAACUUGACAUUUUCCAGUUGGCUAUACCAAAAACUAUUCAUCAGAAAGUUAUGAAAGUUUGGGAAUACCUUAAUGAGAUGAUGGGAAUUUUUUCCAAAACAAAAAUAGUUAGUUUUAAAAACAACCACUAGAGGAAACUUUUCAAGCUGUAAUAGUGGAAUAUUGGCCUGCAAAAUCCUCAGCCCUAGAGCCAAAAAUCACAUGGAUUCAAGUCUAUCUCAAACACUUAGUCUAGCAUGAUUCCAUAACAUUGCUGUCAGACUUUAAGGACACCCUUGCAUGCUAUGUGCUUAACAUUCCAAGGCAUACUCUGCAUGCAACCAUUGAACUUGCUGUUUUACAUUUUUAGAUGGUAGCAGACAAUGGUGGCCAACAUGUUUUGUUCACAUUAGACAUAAUUUGUAUAGCCUAUUGUUAAGUUUUAUAUAAAGCUAUAAUGUGCCCUCUAGUGUAGUGGUGGUUUUUGGAACUAAUUAUUUUUGCUCUUGAAAAAGAUUCCCAUCAUCAUGUUAAAAAAUACAAUUCUCAAACUUUCAUGACUUUCUGAUGAAUAGUUUUUGCUGUAGCCAGUUGAGAAAUGUCAAGUUUAAUUUGGGACACCCUGUAUUUAGAUUCUGAAUAAUAGCAAUGAAUCUAAUUAUUCUUAUAUCAGAAAUAAAUAUACAGUAAACUAAAUAAAUUUCUCUAAUUGCAUAAUUAAUUUUUACAAUUUUACAUAUGUAUUUUAUUGAAUACUUGUUACAAAUAUGAGACCAGUCAAAUGUAAUUUAUUUUUAUAGGAUUUUUAGUAAAUUUAUCAAAGCAUUUUAUUGCAGCUUUUUAUAUUUUUUAUUUAUAUAUAAAA